GGUAAAUUGGCUGAUGAUAGGCAGUAAAUUGUAAAUUUAUCAAUAAAUAUUAAGUUAUUUAUUUACCA
rnacentral:tRNA from 1 species